UACAGAGGGGGCAAGCGUUGUUCGGAAUUACUGGGCGUAAAGGGCGCGUAGGCGGCCUGCUAAGUCGAACGUGAAAUCCCUGGGCUCAACCCAGGAACUGCGUCCGAUACUGGAUGGCUUGAGUUUGGGAGAGGGAUGCGGAAUUCCAGGUGUAGCGGUGAAAUGCGUAGAUAUCUGGAGGAACACCGGUGGCGAAGGCGGCGUCCUGGACCAACACUGACACUGAGGAGCGAAAGCCAGGGGAGCAAACGGG
rnacentral:rRNA from 1 species